GCAGUCGGACGGCAGCAGGUCCUUCGGGAUGCUGGCGAGUGGCGGACGGGUGAGUAAUGCGUAGGAACCUAUCCUUUUGUGGGGGACAACCCAGGGAAACUUGGGCUAAUACCGCAUAAGCCCUGAGGGGGAAAGCGGGGGAUCUUCGGACCUCGUGCUGAAGGAGGGGCCUACGUCCGAUUAGCUAGUUGGUGGGGUAAAGGCCUACCAAGGCGACGAUCGGUAGCUGGUCUGAGAGGACAACCAGCCACACUGGCACUGAGACACGGGCCAGACUCCUACGGGAGGCAGCAGUGAGGAAUAUUGCGCAAUGGGGGCAACCCUGACGCAGCAACGCCGCGUGUGGGAAGAAGGCUUUCGGGUUGUAAACCACUUUUGCCCGGGACGAAAGGGGGGACCUGAAUAAGGUUGCCCGAUGACGGUACCGGGAGAAUAAGCCACGGCUAACUCUGUGCCAGCAGCCGCGGUAAGACAGAGGUGGCAAGCGUUGUUCGGAGUUACUGGGCGUAAAGAGUCUGUAGGUGGUCUGUCAAGUCUUUGGUGAAAGGCCGUGGCUUAACCAUGGGAAUGCCAAAGAGACUGGCAGACUGGAGGCUGGGAGAGGGAAGCGGAAUUUCUGGUGUA
rnacentral:rRNA from 1 species